rnacentral:rRNA from 1 species
AUUGAACGCUGGCGGCAUGCUUUACACAUGCAAGUCGAACGGUAACAGGCCGCAAGGUGCUGACGAGUGGCGAACGGGUGAGUAAUGCAUCGGAACGUGCCCAGUCUUGGGGGAUAACUACUCGAAAGAGUAGCUAAUACCGCAUACGAUCUAUGGAUGAAAGCGGGGGACCGUAAGGCCUCGCGCGAUUUGAGCGGCCGAUGUCCGAUUAGGUAGUUGGUGGGGUAAAGGCUCACCAAGCCAACGAUCUGUAGCUGGUCUGAGAGGACGACCAGCCACACUGGGACUGAGACACGGCCCAGACUCCUACGGGAGGCAGCAGUGGGGAAUUUUGGACAAUGGGCGCAAGCCUGAUCCAGCAAUGCCGCGUGCAGGAAGAAGGCCUUCGGGUUGUAAACUGCUUUUGUACGGAACGAAACGGCUCUGGUUAAUACCCGGGGCUAAUGACGGUACCGUAAGAAUAAGCACCGGCUAACUACGUG